AUCUUACACAUUUAAUUGUACAA
rnacentral:snRNA from 1 species